rnacentral:rRNA from 1 species
CCUACGGGUGGCAGCAGUCGAGAAUCAUUCACAAUGGGGGAAACCCUGAUGGUGCGACGCCGCGUGGGGGAAUGAAGGUCUUCGGAUUGUAAACCCCUGUCAUGUGGGAGCAAAUUAAAAAGAUAGUACCACAAGAGGAAGAGACGGCUAACUCUGUGCCAGCAGCCGCGGUAAUACAGAGGUCUCAAGCGUUGUUCGGAAUCACUGGGCGUAAAGCGUGCGUAGGCUGUUUCGUAAGGCGUGUGUGAAAGGCGCGGGCUCAACCCGCGGACGGCACAUGAUACUGCGGGACUAGAGUGAUGGAGGGGGAACCGGAAUUCUCGGUGUAGCAGUGAAAUGCGUAGAUAUCGAGAGGAACACUAGUGGCGAAGGCGGGUUCCUGGACAUUAACUGACGCUGAGGCACGAAGGCGAGGGGAGCGAAAGGGAUUAGAUACCCCAGUAGUC